rnacentral:lncRNA from 1 species
CUCAUCACAUGUAUUAUCUCAUCAUCCUAGUACAAAAUUAAUUCCAAAACCAUUACAAAUAAUUCGAAAAUUCAAAAAUCUUUCAAAUAAAUGAAAAUUUAAUUCAAAAAAAUCAACAAUCAAAUCCUUUAAAAUCAGUACAAAAUCAAAUCAAAAAAUCAAAUUCUUUCAAAUUAAUUAGAAAACGAAAAAUCAAUUCAUGUCUAAAACCAGAGUCAUGUAAUAAAAUAAAAAUAAAAAAAAAAAAAACAUAAGAAAAAACACAACUUCAAGGAUCAAACAUGCAUACAAAGUUACCUGAAGAUACAGAAACGGGUCAGCAACAAAAUUACUGGGGUACCCAGAACCCGUAACCGACCCACACGUCACAAUCGGGUUAGCCACAGGCCAUGCGGCACUCGUAUUCUCCCAAACAUUCAUCUCUUCAAUCGGUUUAAGCGAAAACGGCGAAUCACCAUAGAAAACUCCGAUAGCCCACGAACCUUCACUGUCAGGUUGACAACCCACUGAACCGCUUUCGUAGUUAUUCCCGUUGUACAUCAUGUUGGUGUACAACAAACCAAUUGAACUGAACAACAUAAAUGAAACACACAGAAAUGAGAUAGUAGAUGAAGCGCCGCCAUUAUCGUGCACGCGCCACCACCGUGUACGGUGGGUUUUCUCGGUGGGUCCGCCCGUAACAACCACGGUCUGGCCGGAAACCAUAUCGCUGGAAAAUAAAGUUUUUGAGAAAAGGUGACGGAAAACGAUCACUUAAGUUUUAACUGGUGGAACAUCAAACGGAGUAGUUUGUUGUGUGAAUUGAGGUUUUGGAUUGUGGAGAAUGGAAUUAUUAUAAUUAUUAUAAUUAUUGAUUUUAGAAGGUGGUUUUGAUUUUGUGUUUGAAAGUUGAAACCAGAGAAAAGU